rnacentral:rRNA from 1 species
CAACGCCGCGUGGGGGAGUGAAGCUUUCUCGGAGUGUAAACCCCUUUCGACCCGGUAAGAAUGCCCGCAAGGGUUUGACGGUACGGGUAUAAGAAGCCCCGGCUAACUACGUGC